UCUUUAACCUCCUUAGGGUUGGGUGUUUUGAUUCAUAAUUUUGAAUUUGGAUACUAUGAUGGUUGUUAUAUGAUGAUUAUAUGAUGAAUUUCGUGUCCCUUAUGUGCGUUAUUUUUGUGUUUUUAUGAUUGAACAUAUAUUCACCAUUGUUGCAAUUUCGAAGGUUUUAGGCAAAAUCUUAAAACUUUGAUUAAAUGAUUUAAUAGUGUUAAA
rnacentral:lncRNA from 1 species